rnacentral:rRNA from 1 species
UACGUAGGGGGGCAAGCGUUGUCCGGAUUUAUUGGGCGUAAAGAGCGUGUAGGCGGCUAUGCAGGUCCGCUGUGAAAACUCGAGGCUCAACCUCGAGACGUCGGUGGAAACCGCAUGGCUAGAGUCCGGAAGAGGAGAGUGGAAUUCCCGGUGUAGCGGUGAAAUGCGCAGAUAUCGGGAAGAACACCCGUGGCGAAGGCGGCUCUCUGGGACGGUACUGACGCUGAGACGCGAAAGCGUGGGGAGCGAACAGG